ACGCCUUCUGCCUCGCUCGGUUUAGUUUUCAAUGAUUAAAUCUUGAGCUGGAUGCUUUAACUUUCAAGUGUAGUUUAGCUACACAUUCUAUUAAAGUAAGAGGCCAGAUUAAUAUAACGAUUUCUUUUGAGUGCGAUACCAUCAAGGCUUGUCCGGAUGAUGUUAUUGUAAUUAUAAAUCAUUACAUUG
rnacentral:snoRNA from 1 species